UACGGGGGGGGCAAGCGUUGUUCGGAAUUACUGGGCGUAAAGGGCUCGUAGGCGGCCAACUAAGUCAGAUGUGAAAUCCCUCGGCUUAACCGGGGAACUGCAUCUGAUACUGGAUGGCUUGAGUUCGGGAGAGGGAUGUGGAAUUCCAGGUGUAGCGGUGAAAUGCGUAGAUAUCUGGAGGAACACCGGUGGCGAAGGCGGCAUCCUGGACCAGUACCGACGUUCAGGCACGAAAGCGUGGGGAGCAAACAGG
rnacentral:rRNA from 1 species